ensembl:lncRNA
CUCCGUGUCCCCUCCGUGUCCCCUCCGUGUCCCCACGCCGCUGUGUCCCUCCCGCCCCAAUCUCAGGCAGUGUCACCGUGUCCCCAUCUCUCCUAUCCGUGGCACUGUGCCCCUGUGGGGCUCUGAGCUCCGGCAGUGUCCCCACAGCGCUGUGACCCCAAUUCCCGUCAGUGUCCCCAUAGCACUGUGACCCCAACUCCCGUCGGUGUCCCCGCAGCGCUGUGACCCCAAUUCCCGUCAGUGUCCCCACAGCGCAGUGACCCCAAUUCCCGUCAGUGACCCCAAUUCCCAUCAGUGUCCCCACAGCACUGUGACCCCAAUUCCCAUCGGUGUCCCCACAGCACUGUGACCCCAAUUCCCCACUGUGACCCCAAUUCCCGUCAGUGUCCCCACAGCACUGUGACCCCAAUUCCCGUCAGUGUCCCCACAGCGCUGUGACCCCAAUUCCCAUCAGUGUCCCCACAGCACUGUGACCCCAAUUCCCGUCAGUGACCCCAAUUCCCAUCAGUGUCCCCACAGCGCUGUGACCCCAAUUCCCGUCGGUGUCCCCGCAGCACUGUGACCCCAAUUCCCGUCAGUGUCCCCACAGCACUGUGACCCCAAUUCCCGUCAGUGACCCCAAUUCCCGUCAGUGUCCCCAUAGCACUGUGACCCCAAUUCCCGUCAGUGACCCCAAUUCCCAUCAGUGUCCCCACAGCACUGUGACCCCAAUUCCCCACUGUGACCCCAAUUCCCAUCAGUGUCCCCACAGCGCUGUGUCCCCAAUUCCCGUCAGUGACCCCAAUUCCCGUCAGUGUCCCCACAGUACUGUGACCCCAAUUCCCGUCGGUGUCCCCGCAGCGCUGUGACCCCAAUUCCCAUCAGUGACCCCAAUUCCCGUCAGUGUCCCCACAGCGCUGUGACCCCAAUUCCCGUCAGUGUCCCCAUAGCACUGUGACCCCAAUUCCCAUCAGUGUCCCCACAGCGCUGUGACCCCAAUUCCCAUCGGUGUCCCCACCGCACUGUGACCCCAAUUCCCAUCGGUGUUCCCGCAGCACUGUGACCCCAAUUCCCGUCAGUGUCCCCAUAGCACUGUGACCCCAAACUCUGGUGGUGUCCCCACAUUGCUGUGUCCCCAUCUCCCCACCGUGUGGCACUGUGUCUCUGUCACUCAGCUCUGGCAGUGUCCCCUCUGUGUCCCUCUGGCACUGCGUCCCUCCCACCCCAAAAUCUGACAGUGUCCCCAUGUGUCCCCGUGAUCCCAAACUCUCAGUGUCCCCUCUGUGUCCCCUCCAUUCCUCAUGACCCCGUGUCCCUGUCACCCACACCGGCAGUGUCCCCAUGGCUCUGUGUCCCCAUCACCCCAAACUGUCAGUGUCCCCUCUGUAUCCCUAUGACCCCAAACCCUCUCAGUGUCCCCUCUGUGUCCCCAUCACCCCAAACUCUCGGUGUCCCCUCUGUGUCCCUAUGACCCCAAACCCUCUCAGUGUCCCCUCUGUGUCCCCAUCACCCCAAACUCUCAGUGUCCCCUUUGUGUCCCUAUGACCCCAAACCCCCUCAGUGUCCCCUUUGUGUCCCUAUGACCCCAAACCCUCUCUGUGUCCCCAUCACCCCAAACCCUCUCAAUGUCCCCAUGGCUCUGUGUCCCCAUCACCCCAAACUCUCGGUGUCCUCUCUGUGUCCCUAUGACCCCAAACCCUCUUAGUGUCCCCUUUGUGUCCCCAUCACCCCAAACUCAGUGUCCCCUCUGUGUCCCUAUGACCCCAAGCUCUGACAGUGUCCUCUUUGUGUCACCGUGUCCCCAUCACCCCAAUCUCUGGCAGUGUCCCCUUUGUGUCCCCAUCACCCCAAACCCUCUCGGUGUCCCCUCUAUGUCCCUAUGACCCCAAACCCUCUCGGUGUCCCCUUUGUGUCCCCAUCACCCCAAACCCUCUCAGUGUCCCCUUUGUGUCCCCAUCACCCCAAACCCUCUCGGUGUCCCCUCUGUGUCCCCAUGGCUCUGUGUCCCCAUCACCCCAAUCUCUGGCAGUGUCCCCUUUGUGUCCCCAUCACCCCAAACCCCCUCAGUGUCCCCUUUGUGUCCCUAUGACCCCAAACCCUCUCUGUGUCCCCAUCACCCCAAACCCUCUCAGUGUCCCCAUGGCUCUGUGUCCCCAUCACCCCAAACUCUCGGUGUCCUCUCUGUGUCCCUAUGACCCCAAACCCUCUCAGUGUCCCCUCUGUGUCCCCAUGGCUCUGUGUCCCCAUCACCCCAAUCUCUGGCAGUGUCCCCUUUAUGUCCCCAUCACCCCAAACCCUCUCAGUGUCCCCAUGGCGCUGUGUCCCCAUCACCCCAAACUCUCGGUGUCCCCUCUGUGUCCCCAUCCCCCCAAACCCUCUCAGUGUCCCCAUGGCUCUGUGUCCCCGUCACCCCAAUCUCUGGCAGUGUCCCCUUUGUGUCCUCAUCACCCCAAACCCCCUCAGUGUCCCCUUUGUGUCCCUAUGACCCCAAACCUUCUCUGUGUCCCCCUCUGUGUCCCCAUCACCCCAAACCCUCUCAGUGUCCCCUCUGUGUCCCCAUGGCUCUGUGUCCCCAUCACCCCAAUCUCUGGCAGUGUCCCCUUUGUGUCCCCAUCACCCCAAACCCUCUCAGUGUCCCCAUGGCGCUGUGUCCCCCCAUCACCCCAAACUCUCGGUGUCCCCUCUGUGUCCCUAUGACCCCAAACCCUCUCAGUGUCCCCUCUGUGUCCCCAUCACCCCAAACUCUCAGUGUCCCCUUUGUGUCCCUAUGACCCCAAACCCCCUCAGUGUCCCCUUUGUGUCCCUAUGACCCCAAACCCUCUCUGUGUCCCCAUCACCCCAAACCCUCUCAGUGUCCCCAUGGCUCUGUGUCCCCAUCACCCCAAACUCUCGGUGUCCUCUCUGUGUCCCUAUGACCCCAAACCCUCUUAGUGUCCCCUUUGUGUCCCCAUCACCCCAAACUCAGUGUCCCCUCUGUGUCCCUAUGACCCCAAACCCUCUCAGUGUCCCCUCUGUGUCCCCAUCACCCCAAACUCAGUGUCCCCUCUGUGUCCCUAUGACCCCAAGCUCUGACAGUGUCCUCUUUGUGUCACCGUGUCCCCAUCACCCCAAUCUCUGGCAGUGUCCCCUUUGUGUCCCCAUCACCCCAAACCCUCUCGGUGUCCCCUCUAUGUCCCUAUGACCCCAAACCCUCUCGGUGUCCCCUUUGUGUCCCCAUCACCCCAAACCCUCUCAGUGUCCCCUUUGUGUCCCCAUCACCCCAAACCCUCUCGGUGUCCCCUCUGUGUCCCCAUGGCUCUGUGUCCCCAUCACCCCAAUCUCUGGCAGUGUCCCCUUUGUGUCCCCAUCACCCCAAACCCCCUCAGUGUCCCCUUUGUGUCCCUAUGACCCCAAACCCUCUCUGUGUCCCCAUCACCCCAAACUCUCGGUGUCCUCUCUGUGUCCCUAUGACCCCAAACCCUCUCAGUGUCCCCUCUGUGUCCCCAUGGCUCUGUGUCCCCAUCACCCCAAUCUCUGGCAGUGUCCCCUUUGUGUCCCCAUCACCCCAAACCCUCUCAGUGUCCC